CCUACGGGUGGCAGCAGUGGGGAAUAUUGGACAAUGGGGGGAACCCUGAUCCAGCCAUGCCGCGUGUGUGAAGAAGGCCCUCGGGUUGUAAAGCACUUUCAGUGAGGAAGAACGCCUGGUGGUUAAUACCCAUCAGGAAAGACAUCACUCACAGAAGAAGCACCGGCUAACUCCGUGCCAGCAGCCGCGGUAAUGCGGAGGGUGCGAGCGUUAAUCGGAAUUACUGGGCGUAAAGCGCGCGUAGGUGGCUUGAUAAGCCGGUUGUGAAAGCCCCGGGCUCAACCUGGGAACGGCAUCCGGAACUGUCAAGCUAGAGUGCAGGAGAGGAAGGUAGAAUUCCCGGUGUAGCGGUGAAAUGCGUAGAGAUCGGGAGGAAUACCAGUGGCGAAGGCGGCCUUCUGGACUGACACUGACACUGAGGUGCGAAAGCGUGGGUAGCAAACAGGAUUAGAUACCCGAGUAGUC
rnacentral:rRNA from 1 species